GGACAUUUUACUGUUAGAUGUCCUCAGGCUCUUUGUGAUAGAUGUAAAAAGAGAAGUCAUCUGUCUUUUGUCUGCAAUGAGUUCUUCCCUUGAGAUCACACACCUGUGAUGUGUGCCUUCCAAACCAAGGGUCAGGGUUUAUUUUACAUACCUGAUUACAGCGUGGAUAGGCAGAGUAGGGAUAAUAUUUUCAACAUUGUUGUCACCAUUACUGAUGGCUCUGCUCUGACUAAAGAUAUUGAGCACGAGUUGAGUGUGUACGUUCGCCAGGGAUGGCGUUGCUCUGCGAGAUUUUUUGCUCCACAAAAGUUUGUCAUGAGGAUGCCAAAUCCUAGAGAGGUCGACAGAGCGCUUUUUGUUGAAAAUAUCAAGUUGCAAAAGUGUGGAGUUAGUGUCAAGUUUUCCCCUUGGUCUGAGGAUAUUGAUUCUGAGGGACUGUUAGAGAUUGCCUGGGUUAAGAUCGGAAAGAUUCCACCAAACAAGAGGUGCGAUAGGACUGUAGCUUAUGUGGGAGGGCUUGUUGGGAUUACCCUGGAAGUUGAAGUUGUUGGGGAACGUAGUAAUUUCAAAAAAUUUCCUACGCACACGCAAGAUCAUGGUGAUGGCAUAGCAACGAGAGGGGAGAGUGUUCGUCCACGUACCCUCGUAGACCGUAAGCGGAAGCGUUAG
rnacentral:rRNA from 1 species